AUGCGGCGGGAGAGGUGCGGCGCCCCCCACCCGCGUCGCCGCCAUGGAGGUGCUGCGGCGCUCCUCGGUCUUCGCCGCCGAGAUCAUGGACGCCUUUGACCGCUCGCCCACUGGCUGGUGGCUGCACUCUGCAGCUUCGGCCGCUUCCUGAAGGCUGCCUUCUUCGUGCUGCUGCCAGAGAGAUGAGCUGCCCACCUGGCAGUGGCCGCAGCCUGGCCCUCUGGGCCCAACGCAGGAGGCCCUCAGCACCCGAACACAUCUUCCUCCUCCCCACCCG
rnacentral:sRNA from 1 species